rnacentral:rRNA from 1 species
CACGGCAGCACGGGAGCAAUCCUGGUGGCGAGUGGCGAACGGGUGAGUAAUAUAUCGGAACGUGCCCAGUCGUGGGGGAUAACGCAGCGAAAGCUGUGCUAAUACCGCAUACGAUCUCUGGAUGAAAGCGGGGGACUCGUAAGAGCCUCGCGCGAUUGGAGCGGCCGAUAUCAGAUUAGCUAGUUGGUGGGGUAAAGGCCCACCAAGGCGACGAUCUGUAGCUGGUCUGAGAGGACGACCAGCCACACUGGAACUGAGACACGGUCCAGACUCCUACGGGAGGCAGCAGUGGGGAAUUUUGGACAAUGGGCGCAAGCCUGAUCCAGCAAUGCCGCGUGCAGGAUGAAGGCCUUCGGGUUGUAAACUGCUUUUGUACGGAACGAAAAGGUUUGCCUUAAUACGGUGGGCCCAUGACGGUACCGUAAGAAUAAGCACCGGCUAACUACGUGCCAGCAGCCGCGGUAAUACGUAGGGUGCGAGCGUUAAUCGGAAUUACUGGGCGUAAAGCGUGCGCAGGCGGUUAUAUAAGACAGAUGUGAAAUCCCCGGGCUCAACCUGGGACCUGCAUUUGUGACUGUAUAGCUAGAG